AUGGGAGAAAUUACGUACGUACUUAGGGAUGUCAAUGGGUAUCGAUACCCGAAAUUUUAUGCAAAUCCGAAUCUGAAUAAAACGGAUAUAUCCGGUGUUAAAUAGAUAUGGAUUCGGAUGUGGAUAUCAAAAAUAAAAAUCUGAUGGAUAUGAAUUCGAAUAUAGAUUUUGACUGUAUCCAACCCGAACCCGAACCCGAAUUUAUUUUGUACUAUAUAUAU
rnacentral:lncRNA from 1 species